CCCAGAUUAUUUGUUUAUUUGAUAUUUUUCAAACAGUUAAAUCCCUGAACGAAUUAUACCUUAUAAUAUAGAUUAGACUCUUAUUUUGAAAUUUGGAACGGGCAACUUCCGGGAAGGAAGAUCGUACUGCUACUGCUUGCUGCAGAAAAGGUUCAUGAGAAAGUUAUUGUUUCCCAUCCAUCUUUAAAUUAGCAUCUAGCUGGAAGGCGAACAGGUAUGUUUGUGUAUUUUACUUGUUGUUAACAUUUCGGACAAUUUGUAAAUUUAUUACUUGAUUGUUAACAAGUUUAUGAGUGAUCUAGCAGGCUGAUGCUAGCACCUCUUGUGCCUUUUUUGUGAAUUAAUUAGCAUGUAGGAAACGUGGUUAUAUCAAGUGAAUGUUUAUUUUGUUUUAUGUCAUGAUUACAGCUCUUACGAUGUUUCUAUGGUAAAACUUGUGAAUAAAUGGGUUGGAAUACCCCACCAUGGUCCAUCCGUAAUGAUCAUUGAGUGCAUCGUCUGAAUAAAGUCCGGCUGGAAUGCUACAGUAAGAGCUGAUCCCCCACAUCAUCCUGCUGCCACUCUGCACCACGGAACCACGAGGACGAGUCACGGAGCUGUGUUACUAUUCGUCUGGGAUUGACAAGACAUUUCAUGGAGCAGCUCAGCGCCAUUCUAUGGGUCUUCUAGACAGAGACUUUAUGAUCAUCAUGCAGCUGGUUUAAUGGUUUGAUGUGACGGUCAGACAAGGUAUGGAACAUUUCAUUCUAAUUGAUAAGGAAAGGACAUUCAUGCUCAUCAGUGGUGGUUAAAAGGGAGAGAGAAGGACGUCAACUACUGUGGACAUCUGCACUAAGGACAUUGCAUUAAGAAAUAACGGACAUGAAGUAAUAACAAGUGAAGUAGUCUUGUUUAUUGGUAUUUACCACCACCACUGUUUAUUUAUCAUUCUUUCUACUGACUCAAAGGGGGCAUUUGAUUCAAUUUGUAACUGUACAGUCUUAACGGUGUAUUGGAUUUGUGUUUGGCAUAAGAGGUUUACUUUACCACAUCAGUUUGCAACAGCUAGCAGGUUGCAUUCAUUAUUUUAUACAUUUCUUCUCAACAUUGUGUUGGUUAUCUACUUCUAUUUCAACUUGGUUUAAAGUGCAAAGAUUCUCCUCCCUUCUGUUAAUGCAGCCUGUAAGUUAUAGUAACCACAAGCAGCUCAUUAACGAAAGCCUGCAAAUUAGAUAAGUAAAUAACAUAAACAUGAAGGAAAUGGAGAAUCCCUCCUCACAAACAGAACUAGAGCAACAGAUAGUCGACCUGCAGAAUAAAAUCGAAAGGCUUAAGGCGUCUCUUGAAGACACAUCAGAAACUACAGAAAUAGAACUUUUGGAGAAGGAAAUUCAACACAAAGAAGAAACGUUGAACAACUUGCAAGGUGAGCUUAAAGAAGGCCUCCGACGCUCCACUCGAACAAAAACCCCAACUCCUAAGGCGCUCGAAAUGCAACAGGAGGAAGCAAGAAAAAGAGAAAGAAAGUUCAUCUCAACAUACGAGGGAUGGAAGAUUCGAGCCCGAGAGUCAAGAGAGCAGCUCAAGUCAGACAUUAGUAAAGGCGAGCUGGCAUCUUUGAUGGAUGCUUUGGAGAAAGAGAAAGAAACUGUGUUAAACACUUACCUUGAAAUACGAAGUCACAUUACACCUUCUCCAGAAUUAAGACGUCAUGUUGACAGUUGUGAGGCAGUUACAGCCGAAAUUAUGAAAGUUACCUACGAGAGAAUGUCAGACCUCGAUGGUGAUUAUGAUGCAGAACAAGUACAUCGCCGUCUCAGGGAGCUGCUUAAGAACAGCUACGCACGCUCCAUCUAUGGAUCCACUGCAUCUAGAGUGACAAAGUCAGUCCGUAGUCACGAAAGCACCACUAUAACACUCAAACGGGCGGAUGCCGCAGCAGAGCUAGCUGCUAAGGAAGUUGAAUUUGAAGGGUUGCUGGAAGAAGAGAGACAAAUGGAGAAGAUAGAGGAACAGCAGAGAAAAAUGGAAGUAGAAAAGCGCAGACUUGAACGCCUUCAAGCAGAAAAGAAUUUAAGGGCUGCUCGGGCCAAACUACAGGUUUACAGCCAGGUAGCCUCACAGGAAGGCAGUCUGCAUUCCUCUAAUAGUUCAGUGGGAAAUCAUCAUGUUCCCCCUGCUAUCAGCCAUCCAGCUCCCAACGUCACAGCAUCACCACCCGACACAAACGUGUCAUCCCUUGCCCAAGCCCUACAAGACAGUAUGGCUCUAAAUAGACUUCCAGUUCCAGAGCCGUCUGUAUUUAAUGGUGACCCCAUUCAGUUCAUUGAGUGGAAAACUUCGUUCAUGUCACUUAUUGACAAAAAGGCCAUCUCCCCAGCGGACAAACUUUAUUACUUAAGGAAGUAUGUAGGCGGCCCAGCUCGUAAAACACUGGAAGGAACUUUCUAUAGAAAUGACAGCGACGCUUAUAAGGAUGCGUGGAACAAACUGGAUAACAGAUAUGGCCAAACCUUUAUCAUACAGAAAGCCUUCAGAGAUAAGCUCACAGAUUGGCCAAAGAUCCAACCUAGAGAUGCAGAAGGAUUAAGAGACUUCUCAGAUUUCUUAAACGCAUGCCAAGAUGCAAUGACACAUGUGAAGAGCCUUGAAAUACUGAACGACUGUGAAGAGAAUAAGAAGCUAAUCCUCAAACUACCAGAGUGGAUAGCAUCUCACUGGAACAGGAAGGUUACUGAAGCCUUAAAGGGCAAUAAGGAAUUCCCCAGUUUUAAGGACUUCGCCGCAUUUAUAGCGACAGAGGCAGAGAUCGCUUGCAAUCCGAUCACCUCAGCUUAUGCCCUCCGCAGCUCUGAGUCGACCACUGCCAAACUAGGCAGCAGAGAACCUAAGAGGAACAAGGCAAGCGUUCUAAACACACAGACUGAGGCCGACACCGAGAGGCUCAAGCCAGUUAAAGGAAAGGAUAAGCCUCCUUGUGCCUUCUGUCAAAAUAAUCAGCACAGACUACAUGGAUGUCCCAAGUUUAUUGCUAAAACUCUGGAGGAGCGUCGAGAUUUCGUCAGAGAACAUAAGCUCUGCUAUGGCUGCACCAAACCUGGACAUAGUGCAAAAGACUGUCGACAUCGACACUCAUGCAACAUGUGCAAGGGUAAACAUCCCACUUGUUUACACGAUGACAACUAUGUAAAGAAGGAAAGGGUCCUGCCACAAGAAACCGCUAUCUUGAGCAAUGCCGGCCAAACGGAGGCUGCUGCAACUUCAAUGUCAGUGAUUACUGGACAGCCAACUAACACAUCAAUGAUUGUGCCUGUGGGGGUGUCAAAAGGGGAUGCAGGAACUGAGAAACUGGUUUACGCCCUGCUGGACACACAAAGCGACACGACAUUUGUUGACCAGGAACUGAGUGAUGUUCUAAAGGCAGAUUCCUGUCCAGUUAAGCUGAAGUUAACUACUAUGAUCGGACGUGAUGUGAUCGUAAAGAGCCAAAGAGUCUCAGGGCUUUGUGUUCGGGGUUAUCGCUCUUCCCUCCUCAUCAACCUUCCUCCUGCUUAUACCAAGGAUUGCAUACCGGUAAACAGAGCCCAUAUCCCAACAAGCGAGACAGCUAAAAGGUGGAAUCAUCUCUCCAAGGUCAUAGAAGAGAUUCCACCUCUACAGGACUGUGAGGUUGGUUUAUUGAUAGGCUAUAACUGUGCACGAGCAAUGGCACCAAGAGAAGUCAUAACGGGAGGAGACGAUGAGCCUUACGCAAUUCGUACCGACUUAGGAUGGAGCAUAGUUGGUGGUUCGUCGACAUGCCCCAACACUUCAAGUACGGCAGGACAGUGCUUCCGAGUUGCAGUCAGGGAGCUCCCACCAGUCACACCGGCAGAUGCCAUUCGCAUUCUAGAGUCUGACUUUAAGGAUGCUAAGGAAGACGGCAAACCAGUGUCUCAGGAGGACAUCCUGUUCCUGGACAAACUCAAGAACCACAUCAAAAAGAACAGUCUAGGUCACUACGAGAUGCCGUUACCCUUUAAGGAGAGACCUACCUUACCUGACAACAAACAGCUUGCAGUCAUGCGUCUGAGCCAUCUAAAGAGGAAGCUCUUAAAGGAUAAAGGGUACAAAGAACAGUAUGUCAAGUUCAUGGAGGAAGUCAUAGAAAAGGGUGAUGCAGAGGAAGUCCACGAUGAUGGGAAAGAGGGUGAAAAAUGGUACAUACCUCAUCACGGUGUAUUCCACGACAAGAAGCCAGGCAAACUGCGCGUGGUGUUCGACUGCUCUGCCAAGUACCAGGGAACCAGUCUGAAUGAUCAUCUGCUCACUGGUCCUGACCUGAUGAACAAUCUCAACGGCGUACUCCUUCGCUUCCGGUUGCACUCCACUGCAUUAAUGUGCGACAUAGAGAAAAUGUUUCACCAAUUUCAUGUGAGGAAUUCGGAUCAGGAUUACCUGCGCUUCCUUUGGUGGAAGAAAGGAGAUCUCGGUACACAACCCCAAGAAUACCGUAUGAGGGUGCAUAUCUUCGGUGCAGCCUCAUCACCUGGUUGUGCGAACUACGGAUUGAAGCAUUUGGCUACAGAAAAUAAAGACCGAUACCCAUUAGGCUCUCAGUUCAUUCUGAGAGAUUUCUACGUCGACGAUGGAGUCACAAGUACAGACAGCUCAGAGAAGGCUAUCAAGUUAGCAGAAGAAGCCAGAAGACUUUGUGCCCUGGGUGGUCUUAGGCUCCACAAGUUUGUGUCCAACGACAAAGCUGUCCUGGAAAGCAUACCAGCGACUGAACGUGCAUCAGACAUUAAAGACCUCAACCUCGCCUUUGAUAGCUUACCUUCAGAGAGAGCAUUGGGUAUCCAAUGGCAUGUCGAAUCAGACUGCCUGAAGAUCAGCACCAACCUUAAGGAACAGCCUGCAACGCGUCGAGGCAUAUUGUCCAUUGUUGCAUCCCUGUACGAUCCUUUGGGUCUCAUAGCCCCUUUCUUGCUCAUUGGAAAGGAAGUGCUGCAGCAGAUGUGCUGCCAUGGAACAGGUUGGGAUGACCCUCUAACCAACGAACUUCGCCCACGGUGGGAGAAAUGGAAAAACGACAUCAACAACUUGGAGAGGAUAAAUAUACCCCGAAGUUACGCCCCGGCAGAUUUCGGAAAGGUUAUCAAACGUGAGUUACAUCACUUUUCCGACGCAAGCACUACUGGCUAUGGACAGUGUUCAUAUCUGAGGCUUAGCAAUGAAGAAGGAGACAUCCACUGUGCACUAGUCAUGGCCAAAUCUCGCGUUGCCCCAACAAAGGUUACCACGAUCCCAAGAUUAGAGUUGACAGCUGCAGUCAUUUCUGUGAAAACCAGCAAUGUUUUGAAGGAAGAACUUGGAUAUGCGGACAUUGAAGAGCAUUUUUGGACCGAUUCCAAGGUUGUACUAGGGUACAUCAAUAACGAGGCUCGACGUUUUCACACAUUCGUAGCCAACCGUAUCCAGAAGAUACAUCUCUACACGAAUCAAAGGCAAUGGAGAUACGUCCCUACCGACCAGAAUCCUGCGGAUCGUGCUUCUAGAGGUUGUUUCGUCAAUGAGCUAAUAUCAUCGAACUGGUUUACCGGCCCUGCAUUUCUAUGGGAAAAGGGAGUUGACCUCUCAGAAGAGGUGGCUCCGGAACUGUCAGUCGGAGAUCCAGAAGUUAAGGAAACACGGACUCUAAACACAGAAACUGUAGAACAAGAUUCUCUUACCUAUCGGCUGACAAAGUUCUCGUCCUGGACUCGCGCCAUCUGUGCAGUGGCUCGCAUUCUUCGAAGGAUUAACAAGGAUAAGUCAAUCGGCCUCUCUACAGUGCAUGAAAGAGAAGAAGCAGAGCGCCUCAUCAUCAAAGAUCUGCAGAGACAAACAUACUCGGAGGAAGUGCGGCUAUUGAAGAAAGGUUGUCAGCUGCCACCUCAUAACAAGCUACACCACCUCAACCCCUUCUUGGACAACAAUGGUGUGAUUAAGGCGGGAGGUCGACUCCAUGAUUCAAACCUUCCUCUCUCAGUCAAAUACCCUACCAUCAUUCCAAAGGAACAUCAUGUUACAAGGAUGAUCAUAGCAUACUGUCAUGAAGAAGUCAAGCAUCAAGGCAAGGGGAUGACUCUCAGUGCAAUUAGGACAAGAGGUUACUGGAUACCAGGAAUUGGUAGGACGGUUGCAUCCUAUCUACGCCGAUGUGUAGUUUGUCGGAAGCUUCGGAGACAGACAGAAGAACAGAAAAUGGCCGAUCUCCCUCCAGAGCGAGUAAAUCCAUCUCCACCCUUUACCUACUGUGGAAUGGAUUGCUUUGGACCCUUCUAUAGCAAGCAAGGACGUAGUGUGCGAAAACGAUAUGGUCUCCUUUUCACCUGCUUCUCCUCUAGAGCCAUCCAUAUUGAAAUGCUGGAGGACCUAUCUACAGACUCAUUCAUAAUUGGGCUGCGCUGCUUCAUUGCUAUACGUGGAGCCGUGCGCCAGAUCAAAUCUGACCAAGGCAGUAACUUCCUAGGAGCCAAGAAUGAACUGCAGGUAGCCCUCACGGAAUUAGAUGGUGAUAAACUGACGAACUUCCUUUCUAAGAAGCAGUGUGACUUCAUCCUAAAUGCUCCUGGUUCAAGUCAUGUUGGUGGAGUUUGGGAGCGUCAAAUUAGAACAGUCAGGAGUGUUCUCAACGCGACCCUUGGACUCUCACCUGGAAACCUACCUGAUGCUUCCCUCCGAGCAUUCUUCUAUGAAGCAAUGACGAUAGUUAAUAGUCGUCCUCUCACUAUUGAAAACCUACAUGAUCCCAACAGUCUUGACCCACUGACACCAAACCACUUACUUACCCUGAAGUCUACCAUGGCCCUUCCUCCCCCCGGCAAGUUCAUAAGAGAAGAUAUGUAUGCAAGAAAGAGAUGGCGCCACGUACAAUAUCUGGCCGAGCAGUUCUGGAGCCGUUGGCGGAAAGAGUACUUGGCCAACAUUGCCUUUAGACAACGCUGGCACACCCCAAAGAGGAACCUGCAGAUCGGGGAUAUAGUCAUAAUGAAGGAUGAAGACUUGCCCAGAAAUGAAUGGAGGUUGGGAAGAGUCGUAGACACUACAAUGGACAGAGAUGGACUGGUUAGGAGAGUAAAGCUAUGUCUAGGUGACAGGAAACUUGGCAAAAAUGGUGAACGUCUCACUAAGCAGUCAGUGCUCGAACGGCCAGUUCAAAAACUAGUCUUAUUGUUGGAAAAUGACUAGUUCAUUCCUUGCAUACUAUGCUUCUGUUGUUUGGUCAUUAUUUGUAUUAUGAAAUCAUUUGUGUUCUUUCUUCCUAUGGUUAUGGAGUUAUGAUGUUUGGAACACUAAUGAUUUGGUGGGAGUGUAAAUGACCCAGAUUAUUUGUUUAUUUGAUAUUUUUCAAACAGUUAAAUCCCUGAACGAAUUAUACCUUAUAAUAUAGAUUAGACUCUUAUUUUGAAAUUUGGAACGGGCAACUUCCGGGAAGGAAGAUCGUACUGCUACUGCUUGCUGCAGAAAAGGUUCAUGAGAAAGUUAUUGUUUCCCAUCCAUCUUUAAAUUAGCAUCUAGCUGGAAGGCGAACAGCUCUUACGAUGUUUCUAUGGUAAAACUUGUGAAUAAAUGGGUUGGAAUACCCCACCAUGGUCCAUCCGUAAUGAUCAUUGAGUGCAUCGUCUGAAUAAAGUCCGGCUGGAAUGC